UUUCGCAAUGCCCGAAAGGGUGACGAAGCGACGCCGCGUGCGGGAAGAAGGCCUUCGGGUUGUAACCCGCUGUCGGGAGUUAAGAAAUGCAAGGGUGUUAAUAGUAUCCUUGCUUGACUAAGGCUCCGGAGGAAGCCACGGCUAACUCUGUGCCAGCAGCCGCGGUAAUACAGAGGCGGCAAGCGUUGUUCGGAAUUAUUGGGCGUAAAGAGCACGUAGGCGGCUGUGUAAGUCGGUUGUGAAAGCCUUCCGCUCAACGGGAGAACGGCAUCCGAUACUGCAUGGCUUGAGUGCGGGAGGGGAGAGUGGAACUUCUGGUGGAGCGGUGAAAUGCGUAGAUAUCAGAAGGAACACCGGCGGCGAAGGCGACUCUCUGGCCCGUAACUGACGCUGAGUGUGCGAAAGCUAGGGGAGCAAACGGGAUUAGAUACCCCGGUAGUCCUAGCCGUAAACGAGGGGCACUAAGUAGAGGGGUUUU
rnacentral:rRNA from 1 species